rnacentral:misc_RNA from 1 species
GCAAAGCUUCCAUUCCAUUGAAAUAAACUAUACAUAAAUCAAUCAGGGUAGUGAGGCGUUGAAGUUGAUCUGGCAGAUACUUUAUUCUACUUCUCCAACCUCCAUUUAUAGUUAAGGAUUCAAGGGAUGACAGGUCUUGGAUUGAAUUUAGAUAAGAGAAAGAAUCCGACUCCUCCGAGAAUUUACCAAUUGUUAAACUCCUCAAUCGGGUGAGCCCACCUAAUAUGGUCUCUGGAAAUAAACUCAGACUCGGACAAAAUGUUAUUUGCAAUUCAUUAAGAGAAAACAAUUCGCCUAAAUAUUGGGAAACAGAUGCCAGCCCUUCACAUCCAGAUAUUUUCAAUGAUUCCAGAGAAGCAGAGGAUUUCAGCCCACUUGGAAGAC